UGACGCCCGCGGUGGGAAGCCGAGCGUCGGGUUGGGGACCCAAGCGGUCCCUGUGCUCGCCGGCUCUCUGCGGCUAUGGGCUCCCUCGGAGUGCGAAACCGGCUCCCCGAAGCCGGAGGCGCCGCAGGACCGCCAUGGGCUUUGAGGCGGCCCGAGAAGGGCCAGGCUUCGGAGCCUGCCACCUGACGAAGGCGGGACGUGGGGGGACGCGUCCAGAAACGUAGGUCUGCGACGAGAGCUGCCCCCGCGGCACUAAGGCUGGCUCAGGAGGCGCCCGGCUGCGGAGGAAGCAGUAGUCCCUUCUCCUCGGCCUUCAGGAGGGAACGGAGGGGAUGACUGUGCGGAGACAGCCGUCGGCCCGGCUGCAGAUGGAGCUGGCCUGGGCGCUCCCCACCAGGUGAGGUCCACCCGGAGCAGACUGGCCUUGCGGAUGGCAGGACGUCCCUCUUGGGCGAGCCUGUGGUCAGAUGAUAGCAGUCCAUCGACCUCAACAGCCUGCCUCUACCCUGAAGUCAUUAGAGAUGAAAGUUCUUGAGCAGUGUUGAUGUGCAGACAGUGCUCCUGCCAGAUCCCAGAGUCCUUCUGGCCCUUCCUUCUGGGCAGGCGCUGUUCUGGGACACUGCCUUGUUCCUGAUCUUAAAGGGAAAGCUCUCCUUUCUUCACCUUUGAGAAUGAUGUUAGCUCUGGGCUCAUAUUCGAUCUUAAAUUAUGUUUAGUUCAUGUGGUGUAUCCUACUAAUCCAGUCAUCUCUGAGGUGUGUUGAUGAUGAUGAAUAUCCCGGCAAACCUGGCAAGACUGUGUCCCAGAUCUAUCAGUUACGGUGAGUCAAAUUUUGUGUUCACUUAGGCUGCAGAAGCCUUUCAGUUUUUGAUUUCUCAAAAAGGGAGUCUGUCCACGAAUUGAUACUAAAUUGGUGUGUUUGUGGGAAUAAGAAGGUCCUCGGCUUCCUACACCAUGUCUUGCUCUAGAAAUAGCACUAGUCCGUUGUUCUCAGCACCUCUUGACUGAUCCACCCACUCUUGGAGUACAGCCCGAGCGCUCGUGGUGGCUGUCACACCCACUAGCACCAUAGUUCCAGUGACUGCUCCCUGAGAGUGCAGAGACCAUCCUGGAAGUUUAAGUAGUUCUGUGGCAAAGGAGCUCGAGCUCUUGACCAUUCCAGUGUUGGAAUGAUUUAUCGUUUUCUGAGCACUGGGGCCAUCAUUCUGUGAUGCGUUCGUCGUUCAACAAAUAGCGUGGUGAUGACAUGCCAGGCUGUCCUAGGCAGUGGGGAAACAGACCAAGUCCUCAGUCCAUUCCUGACUCCUGUUUCUCUCCUACCACAUGUCUCAUCUCAUCACUAAGUCCAGUGGCUCUACCUGCAAAGUAAGCCCAGUUUGAGACUUCCAAUGCCCUCCUCAACCACAAACUGCUCCAAACCACCAUCAUCUCAUAUGGCCUCACUAUUUCAGUAACUCCUGAGUUUCUUGCUUUACCUCAGGCCCCAUAGUCUAAUCAUAACACAGCAACUGAGCAAAUGCAUAGAACUGUGAGUCCCGUCUCCUGUUCCUUUGCUCCAGUGGUUUCUCAGAAUAAACACCAGAUUCUUUAAUGUUACCUGAUGAUCUUACACAAUCUGGCCUCCAUCUCCUUUCUGACAUCUAGUGCUCUCCUCUCUCACUCCACCAUGCUGGCCUUCUUGCUUAAAGUGAUACAUGAUUGACUAUGAAGUAGGGAAGUCAGUCAUUGUCAUACGUAUCCACACAAGGUGAAUAAGGUUUGGACAGUGCACUUGGGUAAGCUUCCAACCCAAGCUUGGGCCUUGAAAGAGAGAUUUAUACUGGCAGAUGAGAAGAGGGAAGCAAGAGGACCUAGUAGAUGGGAUCGAGCAAAGGUAGAGGGUUGUAGCACUCUAGGGAUAGCUCCAUAUGUUAGCCAUGUUUGUUUGCAAACCAGUAUUAGGCACCUGGAACAGUACAGGCACCACAGUAGGGGGUUGAGACUUACUUACUGAAUGAACGAGAGAUAUUUGGAUGGUACUUAGUGGGCAAUGGGACAGAAGGUUUAGAUGGUGCCCAUUCAAGGAACACUUGCCUGUAUAGGAUUUGAGAAACAACAUGGUGCAUGUUUUUGGUAGAGAGGUUGAAUUUUUGGAGGGAGUAGACAGAAAUAAAGCUGGAAAGAUAGGUCGAAGCGAGAUUAAGGAAGGGCUUGGAUGUCACUCAGAGGUUUACAUUAGGUGUGCUCAGGGCGAUGUUGGGGAGCUUCCAAGCAGGGGAAACCAGAUGAAGUGACUGUCAGUCUGGAGUCUGGAAUGAUGGCCAUAAUGGCUGGAGCCCGGGAGAGACACUUUCCAGAACCUCAGGCUUAACACACCGUGGGCCUAUAGUACUUGUUAAAUAAGGAAUUGAAUUGCAGAAGGGAUAUUGGGGCUAGAAUGGGAGAUUUAAGAAAGUUUCAGGAAUGAGGGAUCAUUAAGAAUUGUCUUUGAAGGAUGAGGAGGAAAUUUGGAGGGUCUGGGGACACACCUCCCCACGUCUUCCCUUUCCAUCAGUGCUUUAAGAGGAAGAACCUGAACAGAGGCAUGAUCCUCACCUGUCAUGUCCUGGCCACCAUGCUGGUGUGCUCUUCCCUCGUCUCCUUCCGGGUGGAAAGAGAACUGCCUGGAGAGGCCUGCAUCUUCGUCAGUGUGCCCUUCAAAGACCACAGCAGUCAGAUGUGCUGGGAGCCCAAAUACAAGCCCAGUGAGUCCCGGGGUAAGCUGCAGCCUCGGCCUACUUCCUCCUGGGUAGAGUUUUCAUGGUCAGCGCCCUUCUCCUCUCACUCUGCUUCAACUUUGUGUUGCUGACCUUCCCGCAGUUACUCCCUGAGACCCAGAAACAGUAUGUUUCUUGUGCUGGUGUCUUCAAUCAUCACAGGCAAGGAGAGGCGGGAAUGAACUCAGAAGGUCUUGGCUUUGGGUUAGGGUGGGAUUUUCGCUUGAUCCGCUUUUUAAUCACUGUUUAGGAAAGUACAGAGGAAGAGGAAAGUCUAGGAGAAGCACAUCGUCUCAAAGGAGGCAGAAGGAAAGUGAGGGGCAGUAACAAGGGCACGAUUCUGGUUCAUCGAUCACGACCCUGCCCUGAAACUUUGGAGGACUGGCAGAGGCUAAUCAGGAGACCUGCAUCUCCCCUUUCUUGGGUCCACAGGUAAUUUUGUGUUCCUCUCAUUAUUAAUGCAUACAUGCAAAUUUUGGAAGUGUCUCAGGGACCCAGUCCACCAAAAGUCACCUGUAAGUUUCCUUACUUCAUGAACGUGUCCAGCUCUGUCCUGUUUCUAGUGUCUGGUCAGUGAUCAUUGGAUUCUGAUGAGGAAGGUGAGUUAACCUCCCAGGCAGUGGGUAAAGCUCAUUUCUUUGAUCUCCCUUUUUUUUUGUCUUAGAGUCUCAGACAUGUGGAAGUUAUAUCCGCAGCCAAUUAUCUAACUUUCUCCAGUUCCUCUGUGGUUUCUGGGCAUUGGUGGCCCUUACGAUAUUUGCCCGCAACUUCUUCCUAUUGUCCAGUGACCUGUAUUAGAAACUUUGUUCCUUCAUGAUUUCUUCCUGCAGUUCAGUUUUGCAAUAUAAAUCCUCAAAUUGGGAUUGAGAAGCAAUCUCUCUGCACCAACUUGAACAAGGGGUCGAAUGCAGAAUAUGGGAAAGAAUUGUUUCCCUUUUUUGACAACAGGAAACAGAAGACCACAUGUAGGACUGGUUACAUAAUUUGGGAGGCCCGGUGCGAAAUGAAGAUGCGGAGUCUCUUGGUCGAAAAUUCUUAGCAAUUUCAAGAUGCUGACAGCAGAGCUUUAAAGCAAGCGUGAGCUCCUCCGAGUGCAGGCCCCCUGUCGCUGCCCAAGUAGCAUGUCCGGGAAGUGAGCUCGGACACUGUGUUAUGCGAUAUGUGAUAACAACAACGUGUGUGGGUGACCCACGCUGUAGUCUCUGGACCCAUUACACUCUUUAAAAUGAGAGAUUGUCCUAGAAUCACGAGUGUAGUUAUUUUGUUAGGAGCCCUCUGUCUUCGCAGUUCCCAGUGUUUGGAAGCUGUUGGCAUUUUAAAAUCUCAACCUCGCCACAUGGAUGCCAUCUCAUCGGAAGACACAGAGCUGAGCCUGGAACCACGCGGAAGGCGUGAGUGUGGUGCGGCAGACUCGGCACCCUAACUGGGGAUUUCUCAGGCAUUCACCCCAAAGAUGGUGUCACUGAUUCGGGAAGGCCCUGACUUCUUCCCCUUGUUCUGUUCAUUUCUCUUUCUGGAGCCUCAGGUCACAGGUCUGUUUCGGGGCAGAGGAAGGGAAGGGGUAGCAUUGUGUGUGCAGGGCUAGCGGAGAGGCGGCCUUGCCUUUCGGCUACUGGAUUACGCAGGUGCCUGUUCGCCGUUAUCUCUGCUUCUCUGUGCUCGCUGGGGACCUGCCUCACGGGGGUGUCUCCUUGUCCUAAACAAAGCCCUUUCCCCAUCUGUGAAGUUUAGGUUUUAAUAAACACUCUCUUCCCUC